AAUCCCCUAACAGGUCAGCUGAUUUAAGUCCGACGUUUACCGUUGUGUAAGUUAUAACAAUGUUUUUCUUCUAACAUCUCUCGUUUUCUGAUAAUGUGCGAGAGAAUUAAAUACGUUGUACAGUUUUACGUAGUAAUUUUACGAACAGCCAAAUGUUAUGGUGUUUAAAGUAAGGCGGUUAUGUUUGUAUUUGUUACGAGCUUUCAUAAUUUGGGGCUUUGGUGUCGUUUUACUAACCUGUAAUAUUGGGUUUUACAAAACACACUUGCGGCAUGCAAAACCAAAUAUCAAGGUAGCAGAAAAGAGUUAUCAGAAAAUCCGAGAACCGAGAGAGUUAACGGCGACUACGGUGACCACUUUAGAAAAAGAGGAAAACGAAGAAUUAACUCUGAAAGAUGUGUUUAUAACGGUGAAAACUUGCGCAAAGUAUCACCAGUCACGAAUUCGCGUGCUGGUCAAAACAUGGUUUACUUUGGCAAGGGAGCAAAUUUACUUCUUCAGUGAUGCAGAUGACGAUGAUCUGACGAGAAGCACUGGAGGACAUCUUAUCAAUACUGGGUGUAGGAAAAUGCACACAAGGAGUGACCUGAGCUGCAAAAUGGGGGCAGAGUAUGAUAUGUUUAUGACCACAGAAAAAAAGUGGUGGUGUCAUUUUGACGAUGAUAAUUAUGUCAAUGUACCUCGAUUGGUUGAGUUCCUUGGACACUAUGAUUGGCGAGAAGACGUCUAUAUUGGAAAGAAAAGUAUUACAAGACCGAUUCGAUCGAUGUAUAAGGGCAAUUUUGUGGAUGUGACUUUUGCUACUGGUGGUGCCGGCGUCUGUGUGUCAAGUGCCUUGGCACGAAAAAUGGAGCCGUGGUGCCUUGCUGGAAAAUUAGCAGAAACUGCUGAUGAUCUUCGCUUGCCCGAUGACUGCACUCUCGGUUUUGUGAUUAUAAAUAAAUUAGGUGGUAACCUCACAACGUCACCACUCUUUCAUUCCCAUUUAGAAGGAUUAAACAAUGUAAAGAUGGCCUCCUUAAGAAAACAAGUAUCACUCUCUUUUUCCACCAAGAAUGUUAUAAAUAUCAACCAUGGCAACAGUAAAAAUCAAGUAUUUAAUGCAACCAUAGACCCAACAAGAUUCCUGUCUCUUCACUGUUUUCUGUUUGAAACCGCAGAAUUUUGUAAAUGAAACUGAAAACUAGCCAACAGAGAUUUAAUUUUUAAUAUUUAAUUUAUAUUCAGUUAUUUCAGAUUUAGUAGCCCAGAAUGUUUAAAGUAUAAUAUUUUUCUAUUGUUAAAUUUAUAUUCAUUCAUUAUUACAAAGAUGCACUGUUUGUUCUGUAUGCAAUUUUUAGAUAUUAUUUAUAUUUUACCUUUAUUAAGCAUUGUUCAGAUGUUUGUAUUUUUAAUUGCGCAACUCGUAUUCGUAUCCAUAACAUAACGCAAUGAAUAUUUCCAAAGUGCAACAAUUUGUUU